CGCGUAGGCGGCCAAUUAAGUCAAAUGUGAAAUCCCCGAGCUUAACUUGGGAAUUGCAUUCGAUACUGGUUGGCUAGAGUGUGGGAGAGGAUGGUAGAAUUCCAGGUGUAGCGGUGAAAUGCGUAGAGAUCUGGAGGAAUACCGAUGGCGAAGGCAGUUCUCUGGGCCGUGACUGACGCUGAGGAGCGAAAGCGUGGGGAGCGAACAGGAUUAGAUACCCGCGUA
rnacentral:rRNA from 1 species